UACGGGGGGGGCAAGCGUUGUUCGGAAUUACUGGGCGUAAAGGGCGCGUAGGCGGUUGGAUAAGUCAGCUGUGAAAACCACGGGCUUAACUCGUGGCCUGCAGUUGAGACUGUCUGGCUUGAGUGUGGGAGAGGAGAGUGGAAUUCCUGGUGUAGCGGUGAAAUGCGUAGAUAUCGGGAGGAACACCAGUGGCGAAGGCGACUACCUGGCCUGUUUCUUGACGCUGAGGCGCGAAAGCUAGGGGAGCAAACGGG
rnacentral:rRNA from 1 species